AAUCAUCAAUUUGAUGUAUUCUG
rnacentral:miRNA from 1 species